rnacentral:misc_RNA from 1 species
AACGCACAUUGCGCCCGCUAGUAUUCUGGCGGGCAUGCCUGUCUGAGCGUCAUUUCAACCCUCGCGCCCGGCUUUGCUGUCGGAUGCGGUGUUGGGGAUCGGCCCGUAGCCGCCUAGCGGUUUGGGCCGUCCCUGAAAUACAGUGGCGAUCGCGUCGUAACCUCCUCUGCGUAGUAACUCCUUACAGGGCCUCGCAGGCGGAGAGCGGUGCGGUCACGCCGUAAAACCCCCCCAAACUUUUACAAGGUUGACCUCAGAUCAGGUAGGAAUACCCGCUGAACUUAA